rnacentral:rRNA from 1 species
AGCGAACGCUGGCGGCAGGCCUAACACAUGCAAGUCGAACGAACCCUUCGGGGUUAGUGGCGGACGGGUGAGUAACACGUGGGAACGUGCCUUUAGGUUCGGAAUAACUCAGGGAAACUUGUGCUAAUACCGAAUGUGCCCUUCGGGGGACAGAUUUAUCGCCUUUAGAGCGGCCCGCGUCUGAUUAGCUAGUUGGUGAGGUAAUGGCUCACCAAGGCUACGAUCAGUAGCUGGUCUGAGCGGAUGACCAGCCACAUUGGGACGGAGACACGGCCCAAACUCCUACGGGAGGCAGCAGUGGGGAAUCUUGCGCAAUGGGCGAAGGCCUGAGGCAGCGAUGCCGCGUGGAUGAUGAAGGUCUUAGGAUUGUAAAUUCCUUUCACCGGUGAAGAUAAUGACUGUAGGCGGAGAAGGAGCCCCGGCUAACUUCGUGCCAGCCGCCGCGGUAACAC